GAUGAAGAACGUAGUGAAACGCGAUAGUUAAUGUGAAUUGCAGAAUUCAGUGAAUCAUCGAAUCUUUGAACGCACCUUGCGCUCUUUGGUAUUCCGAAGAGCAUGCCUGUUUGAGUGUCAUGAAAAUAUCAACCUUGACUUGGGUUUUGUGCUCUAGUCUCGGCUUGGAAUUGGGUGCUUGCCGCUUUUACGAGCGGCUCACCUUAAAUGUAUUAGCUGGAUCUGUCUUUGAGACUUGGUUUGACUUGGCGUAAUAAGUAUUUCGCUAAGGACAUUCUUCGGAGUGGCCUCGUUUCUAGGACGCUUGUCCGCUUUCCAAUACAAGUUCCACCUCGUGGACAUGACUUUUUAUUAUCUGGCCUCAAAUCAGGUAGGACUACCCGCUGAACUUAAGCAUAUCAAUAAGCGGAGGA
rnacentral:misc_RNA from 1 species